rnacentral:rRNA from 1 species
UACGUAGGAGGCGAGCGUUAUCCGGAUUCACUGGGCGUAAAGCGCAUGUAGGCGGUUGCACAAGUCCGUUGUUAAAGCCCCUGGCUCAACUGGGGGAGUCAAUGGAGACUGUGCGACUUGAGGGCAAUAGAGGCACGUGGAACUCCCGGUGUAGCGGUGGAAUGCGUAGAGAUCGGGAAGAACACCAGUGGCGAAGGCGACGUGCUGGGUUGCACCUGACGCUGAGAUGCGAAAGUGUGGGGAGCAAACGGG